ACCAUAAACAGCCCGAUUGAGAUGAAAAUUUUGUUGAAGAGUUCAAAAAAACCAAGCUAAAUCUUCGAGACCUAUGAAUCCAAAUUCAUUUAUGGGUGGGUUUUCGAAUUUCUAUACACUGAUCGUUCGCCAUUUAUCCAGCAGAAUGAAUAUACGUUUGUUCCUCUCACUUUCCAUCGUUUGUUCAUCCUUGUCUUCUUCUCCAAAUGGCGAAUCGGAACCGAAGCAAGUAAAACUCAGGGAACUCUCCAGACCGAUUCCUCCUGGAGGCAUCUAUCCUGCCAAAGAACAUUGUAGGUUCAAUCUAAGCUUCGUUGUUUGUGAAGAUUACGAUAUGAGUUUGGAGGGAAGAGGCGGUUCUUUGCAUUUUAUGGCUUUGAUUCUUGUUCAUUUUUGUUUGUUAAGGUUAUUGGUAAGGGACUAGGUUUACGCAAACCAAUUUCCUGCUAAUUUAGAAUAUGUCUGAGAAAGAUAAUCAUCCCAAAUUCGACAUAAAUCAAAGUAGGAAGAAACAUCAAAGGCCUCUCCAUGAUGAGCUUGUAAUCCUGCAAAAGCAAACUGAACAAACCAAUGGAUGAACCGAGAUAGAACCAACUAACAAACCACAAAAGCUAUUCAUUCUUAUUUCUUCACAAUCUUCAUUUGAAUAUGGUGCGGGAUUUUUGUAUGUAAUUGUCUCUAAAACAGUCAUUUGUUUGUCAUUGUUUCAUUUCAUUACUCUGUUCUUAGUUGAUCUUGUUGCAUACAUUUGUUAUUAGUAGCUUUCUCUUGUAUAAGAGUACCUUGUAUUUGAUUCAUAUAUACAAAGGAAAUAUGAUAUUCUUUUCCUCAUAAAAAUCAUUUAACAACAUUGAAAUUGGUCUCUCAAAACUAUUGCCAGCAGUUAACUUGGGCCAUCCAAGAAUGUAUGCCGAACAGUCCGAGAUUCACAACUAAGUCGAUAGCUUAAGGCAAAGGGUGGGUGCACUCUUGGCCACAAAUUAGUCUGGCAUGGUUCCACUGUAUCCAACAAGGCCUAGAAAGAGUUACUAAAUCAUCCUUUCCGUUUUCCAUACCCUCCUUCGUCCGUUAGGUUUACGAAAUCAUGCUUUCAGACACAUCAUUAAUGAUUAACUUGUUCUUUUCAUGUGUACCUAUAAAGCUGCCCAGGCACAAGCAGAGUACUGUUUCACUUGUGUUUUUCUUACUCUCAGGGAAAGGUCCUUCACGGCCUGCUCCAAAAUUAAUUGGGACAUCAUAGCAUUUUGUCUGAACUUGAGCCAAUAAGCAUGAGCCUACAUAUGCUAAAAAGAUGGUGGAUUUGUACAACCAGAAUGGUGAAAUUGAUCGUAUGCUUUACAGAGAUAGAUGACAUUUUCACUUGUAUUACUGGCUCUUUUGAUUUUGGAGCCAUGAAAUAAUGUCACCGGACUUCAAGAUUCUUGCUGUGAGCUUUGGUUCCACUACUUUUUUCUUGUUUCAUGCCCUGAAUCAUCCACCUUUUUCUAUGGGCUAUUUGGGCUGUUUAUUGAAUCCUUUCAACAUGAAGGGAUGGGCUUUUGAUGAAGAACUAGGAAAAUGUUAUGGGUAGUUACUACCCCAUGUGUUUUCUUCUCUAUGGUAGCUUGAUGUCUCUGUAAGAGGUUGCAUGGUUUUAUGAGAACAUUGGAAGCUCUAGUGGGAUUUUGACAAAGACUGCAGAUAACAUGUUCAUGAAGGAUCAUGAUCAGUUCGAAUUACAAAUUGGUUCCUGAAAAGCUUUGAGUUUGUGGUGCUGAAGAACAUUUAAAUGGGCCAUGGAGUUAUAUCACUAUGUUUGGUUGAAUCAACAGCAUGGGAAGUCAUAUGGGUUGUCUUCUCCUUUAACGUUCCCCACUCGAGAAUUGUCGCGUCUUUGUUCUUAAGUCUUGAAACUGUUCUGACUCAUUGAGCUCUCUAGCGCACACAAAACAUCUUAUUUGCAAUGUAGAACCUUAUGUUCAAGAAAUUUGAGAAAGAUGCAUAUGGACUAUGGGUUUCAAGCAGAGUAAAAAAGAGGGAGCAUUGCAUUUAUCAGGUACUGAUUGGUUUGAAGGCUUAGACUUUUAUUUGUGAGAUCCCACAUUAGUUGUAGAGGGGAACGAAGCAUUACAUAUAAGAGUGUGGAAGUCUUU